AUGCUCACUUGAGCAGCACAUACUAUACCAAAAUUGGAACAAUACAGAGAAUAUCAGCCUAACCCCUGAACAAGGAUGACAACAUAUAAAAAGAAAGAGAAAUGCAC